AGUGUUCAAAGUUUUCAACCCGAAUCAGUAUCUCACCGCUUCCAUCAAUGGAAGUCGUAACCGAAAACGGAGCCCCGACCCGAAUCCUACUGGGUCAAAACCUCGAAAUCGGGCGGGCACAAGGCCUCGAUUCCUCGGACAAAACAGUUUCGCGGCGCCAUCUCUCCCUCUCCGUCGCCGGAGAUACGAACGGCGAAGAAACCCGCCUGCAAUUCGAAGUCCUCGGAAGAAAUCCAAUCUACGUACACAGAGAUGGCGAAGUCAAGAUUUUCCGGAGGUUCGAGAGAGGCGAGAUGAGAAAGGGCGACAUGCUGUGCGUUUCCGGAAAGAAUCCCGUUUGGUACUCAGUCAGAACAACUGAAGAUUGCGGGGAAGGUGUUCGACAAAAUGUGUCAGAGAUUGAAUUGGCUGCUAAACUGGAGAUUGAUUCGGGAGUUGUCGAUUUAGAUAUUUCGGGUCUCGAUCCUGUUAAAGAAUUUGGUUUUGUGGUUGCAGGCCACGAGUUUGAUGGAUAUCCGAAAAGGAUGAUCCAGAAUUGGAAUUGGUUUGUUGAGGAAGAAGUGAGAGAUGGAGAAGAUGAUGACAAUGAGAAGAAAGUGAAGGGGAAGAGGAAGAGAGGAGGAGGGCAUAAUGAUGAUGAGUGGAGCGGCGAGAGUGAAGAUGAGAAGGUGUUGAUGAACAAAUCAAGAAAGGCACGAAGGGAGAAGUACGUGACAAGGUCCGAGGAUCGCCAUGGUAAGAUGAGCUCAACAAGAACGGAUGAUAGGAUUGUUGAUAAUGAAGAAGAGGACGAGGACAAUGAAGAUGACGAGACAUUAGGGGGCUUUGUUGUGGAUGACGAAAACGUGGAGGAGGAGGAAGAGAAUGAAUCGGAGGAGGAGGAAGAAGAUUUUGAAGAUGAAGAUGAAGACGAAGAUGAAUGACAUGAUCAUACAAGAACAUAUUGUAGGGCUUUAACUUGUUAUGAAUACCGUGUUGUAUAUUUUUGUAUCCCUGUGAUCCAGGUGUGUGAAGGAGACGCUAGAUCCAGGAAGAGCUGGAGACAAUGGACUAGCAAAGGAAACGGAGGGAAAGUGAGCAGAAGUGAAGAGAAAAAAAUGGCUAGACGAAGGAGGUCAAUAGCUGAGGGCAACAAAGACUAUUCAUACCUCGCUGGACCCACUUCAACGCCUAUAAAUAAAGGAGCAUGCAGCACACGCCAGAGAGGAAUUUUGCUCUUAGCUCACACACUCACACACACACUUGGGAAAUGGGAAUUCUGGGAUAGUUUAGGGUUUCUAAGGGGUUCAUCUUCGGCAAAAGUCAGUGGUAACACCGUCCUCUCGGAGGGCAAAGAAACAAUCUGCUUUUCAUUCAGCUUUUCGCACUUUUAUUCCGUCGAACUUC